rnacentral:lncRNA from 1 species
AAUAUUAAGUAAUUAUUAAAGUAUAUGUAAUUAUAAUGUAAUUACAAUGUAGCAAUGAAUGUAAACUAUCAAUACUACUAUUACUACUACUACCACUAAUAAUAGUAAUAAUAAUAACAAUAAAAUGGCGUUUGCACGAUUAUAACAUAAGAAUAAUUAUGUACUAUAUAAAUGCACGAUGCACACGUUCAACCUUUCCGGCUCUUGAAGCCGAGCGCAGCCGAACGCUGGCCGAACUCUGGCGAAGGUGGCGUCAUAUGUUUCUCUCGCUCGCUCGUCUCGCUGUCUGUGAAGGAAGAAGGAAGAGCAAUGGCGACGCUGUACCGCCGCGCGCUCACACUGCACACAGGAGCCACAGCACACACUAUUUUUACUCUGAUACUGCUGGGAAGAAGCUCUUGAAGGGUUCAGAGGUGAUCAAACUCAGUAAAGCAGAUAUGCUUUUGUAUGGUCACGUCCCAACCCAUGAGGAUUUCAAACCUGUCGUUUGCGAUGCCUGCAACAAAGUCAUUGAGCCUCAGGACGUCCUGACUCAUUCCGGUAAGUGA